GUGAAUUUGGUUUGUUAUUGGUUUGCCAUACUAUUUGUCAGUUUUAGUCAGGCAGGUGGUUAGCCACCUAUGUUAAUCAUUUGAAGGCCCUCUAGGCCCCUAAUUGCCAGUUGCAGCAAGGGGCAUGGUGGAGCAGCAGCAGGCUGACUCUCUGUUUAGACAAUGUGUUGUGUGUGCAUCUAAUGGUGACAGCACUGAAGCAAGGUGAUCCAGCAGUCAAGUGCGUAAUUCCAUAAGUCACGACACAGCAGGCCUUGAAGCGGCUGCCUGAUUCUCCUCACAGAGCUGGUGGAUGGUGAGAUGCAGUGGGGGAAGAGUAGACUGACUGCCAGCGUCAUGCAGUGUGACAGGAUGUGAGCUGGCUUGCUGGUGUGAUGGAUUUUCUCCAGGGCUUGUCUGGCUUCUCUACACUGAUACAGAGAGUAUCCCCCUUGCACAGAGGAGCCUAAUACGAGGCCUGGGACCGAGGCUGCCAAGAAUAACAAGAGCAUCCGUUACAAACGGCUAUCCGCUCUGGGAAACGCUAGACGGAGAACACAACUGAACACAACCCGUCCUGUCAACAAAUGUCCUCAACCUUGAUGCCAGAGGAAUCAAGUUUGAAUCAAAUAUAGAUCCACAGGCAAGGGACACUG
rnacentral:lncRNA from 1 species